rnacentral:tRNA from 1 species
GCAUUGUGGUUCAGUGGUAGAAUGAUCGCCUGCCACGCAGGCGGCCCGGGUUCGAUUCCCGGCCGAUGCA